UACAGAGGGGGCAAGCGUUAUUCGGAAUUAUUGGGCGUAAAGCGCGCGCAGGCGGUCCUUUAAGUCUGAUGUGAAAGCCCACGGCUCAACCGUGGAGGGUCAUUGGAAACUGGGGGACUUGAGUACAGAAGAGGAAAGCGGAAUUCCACGUGUAGCGGUGAAAUGCGUAGAGAUGUGGAGGAACACCAGUGGCGAAGGCGGCUUUCUGGUCUGUAACUGACGCUGAGGCGCGAAAGCGUGGGGAGCAAACAGG
rnacentral:rRNA from 1 species